rnacentral:rRNA from 1 species
CCUACGGGCGGCAGCAGUGAGGAAUAUUGGUCAAUGGACGAGAGUCUGAACCAGCCAAGUAGCGUGAAGGAUGACUGCCCUAUGGGUUGUAAACUUCUUUUAUAUGGGAGUAAAAUGUUCCACGUGUGGGAUUUUGUAUGUACCAUAUGAAUAAGGAUCGGCUAACUCCGUGCCAGCAGCCGCGGUAAUACGGAGGAUCCGAGCGUUAUCCGGAUUUAUUGGGUUUAAAGGGAGCGUAGGUGGAUUGUUAAGUCAGUUGUGAAAGUUUGCGGCUCAACCGUAAAAUUGCAGUUGAAACUGGCAGUCUUGAGUACAGUAGAGGUGGGCGGAAUUCGUGGUGUAGCGGUGAAAUGCUUAGAUAUCACGAAGAACCCCGAUUGCGAAGGCAGUUCACUGGACUGCAACUGACACUGAGGCUCGAAAGUGUGGGUAUCAAACAGGAUUAGAUACCCCAGUAGUC